rnacentral:tRNA from 1 species
ACAUUGGUGGUUCGGUAGUAGAACUCUUACCUUCCAUGUAGGAGACCCGGGUUCGAUUCCCAGCCAGUGCA